GGGGAAUAUUGCGCAAUGGGGGAAACCCUGACGCAGCAACGCCGCGUGAUUGAAGAAGGCCUUCGGGUUGUAAAGAUCUUUAAUUCGGGACGAAAAAAAUGACGGUACCGAAAGAAUAAGCUCCGGCUAACUACGUGCCAGCAGCCGCGGUAAUACGUAGGGAGCAAGCGUUAUCCGGAUUUACUGGGUGUAAAGGGCGCGCAGGCGGGCUUGCAAGUUGGGAGUGAAAUCCCGGGGCUCAACCCCGGAACUGCUUUCAAAACUGUGAGUCUUGAGUGAUGGAGAGGCAGGCGGAAUUCCCAGUGUAGCGGUGAAAUGCGUAGAUAUUGGGAGGAACACCAGUGGCGAAGGCGGCCUGCUGGACAUUAACUGACGCUGAGGCGCGAAAGCGUGGGGAGCAAACA
rnacentral:rRNA from 1 species